rnacentral:rRNA from 1 species
UCAUUACUGAGUUACCGCUCUAUAACCCUUUGUGAACAUACCUAACCGUUGCUUCGGCGGGCAGGGGAAGCCUCUCGCGGGCCUCCCCUCCCGGCGCCGGCCCCACCACGGGGACGGGGCGCCCGCCGGAGGAAACCAAACUCUAUUUACACGACGUCUCUUCUGAGUGGCACAAGCAAAUAAUUAAAACUUUUAACAACGGAUCUCUUGGUUCUGGCAUCGAUGAAGAACGCAGCGAAAUGCGAUAAGUAAUGUGAAUUGCAGAAUUCAGUGAAUCAUCGAAUCUUUGAACGCACAUUGCGCUCGCCAGCAUUCUGGCGAGCAUGCCUGUUCGAGCGUCAUUUCAACCCUCAAGCACCGCUUGGUUUUGGGGCCCCACGGCACACGUGGGCCCUUAAAGGUAGUGGCGGACCCUCCCGGAGCCUCCUUUGCGUAGUAACUAACGUCUCGCACUGGGAUUCGGAGGGACUCUUGCCGUAAAACCCCCCAAUUUUUUACAGGUUGACCUCGGAUCAGGUAGGAAUACCCGCUGAA